AAAAUCUUAAGUUAAUAAAACUAAUAACCUUCAAAGUUAUAUUUAUCUUCUUAGAUAGAUUUUA
rnacentral:tRNA from 1 species